GGAACUUUGGUGAAAUAAUGCCUUUUUUAAUACCAGAGUGUAAAAACUUGAAGUGUUAAAUUGGGAUCACAUUAUUUUAUUGUAAGUGGGGUUCUAGUUAAUUUACUUUGAGUAAAUUAGAGUGUUCAAAGCAGCCUCUUGGGGCUUUGAAUAGAUUUAGCAUGGGAUAAUAGAAUAGGAUUUGAUAAUCUAUUUGUUGGUUUGAAUUAAUCAAAUAAUGAUUAAUAGGGACAGUUGGGGCAUUCAUAUUAAGUGGUUAGCGGUGAAAUGUGUGGACCCACUUAAGAUGAACUAAAGCGAAAGCAUUUGCCAAGGAUGUUUUCAUUAAUCAAGAACGAAAGUUAAGGGAUCGAAGACGAUUAGAUACCGUCGUAGUCUUGACUGUAAACUAUGCCGACCAGGGGAUAUGAGUAGGUUAUUUC
rnacentral:rRNA from 1 species